UACGUAGGGGGCCAGCGUUGCUCGGAAUUACUGGGCGUAAAGGGUUCGUAGGUGGUGCGGCAAGUUGGAAGUGAAAUCUCUGGGCUUAACCCAGAGGCUGCUUUCAAAACUGCCGCGCUCGAGUGCGAGAGAGGUCAGUGGAAUUGCAGGUGUAGCGGUGAAAUGCGUAGAUAUCGUAAGGAAGACCAGUGGCGAAGGCGAAUCUCUGGACAGUUACUGACACUGAGGCACGAAGGCCAGGGGAGCAAACGGG
rnacentral:rRNA from 1 species